rnacentral:misc_RNA from 1 species
AAAGUCGUAACAAGGUUUCCGUAGGUGAACCUGCGGAAGGAUCAUUAUUGAAUAACUUUUUCCGCCUCUCUUUUGGGGGGGGUGGUUUAUUCUUGUGAAUUGGAGUUUUUUUCCUCCUCUUGCUUGGGAAGAUUUUACCUUUAAGGGGGUCAAGUUGGAACUUGUAUAUGUGUAGGGGGAGAAUUCUCGUAUUUUUAGUAUUUUUUGAUUUUUUUUAUAUUUAUAAAGAAAAAAGACAACUUUCAGCAAUGGAUCUCUUGGCUCUU